rnacentral:lncRNA from 1 species
GGCAACCCAAAGGAAGAUUUAAUCAACAUGCAUCCAACAGCAUAUUCCGAGUCAGGUCCUAAGAAAGUCUUAACUAAUGGAAUGAACCCUGAAAUCGUAGCAACAAUGGCGUUCGACAAAAAGACAAAAAAACUGACUAUGGCUGAGUUACCAAUAUACUCUAGAAUGAUUGUAUAUUAUAAUUCCAUGAUAUCCCUAUGGAUAUUGAUUGCACAAUAAUC